UCACCCUUCUGCCUAGCAAAACUACAUUCUCCAUGGAAACCAAAACCCCUUUCUCUCCUCGCACCAAACUUGCAAAACCUAAAAGACCCAUCAAGAAAAUGGAAACUUGAAGCAAAUGCCAAAGGUUUUUCCAGCAGAAAACCUCCUACUGUAAAAGAAAGCACCCAAAAUAUAAAUCAGAACAUCAAUGAGGAUGAUGAAAUACCAAAGGAGGUGUCUAACAGGAUAAUCAUUAGAAUCUUGGUUUCAGUUGGAUUACCUAUGGCUGUUGGCUUAGCUUUCUUGAAUUUUUUUGAAGUGGUUAAAGAACAAGGCCUAUUUGAUGUGCCUGUUUGGAUUCCAUUUUUGACAACUUUCGUCACUUUCGGGGCAUCCGCGCUUGGAAUUGCUUAUGGGGCUUUAUC
rnacentral:lncRNA from 1 species